AGACUAUAUACUUGUUUUGAAGUGGGCAACAUAAAUGUCCUAUUUCAUGUUAUCAAUGUUCUAAAAGGUCAUUUCUGACAACAAAGGUAGGUAUUCAUUAGCUUCACUUUGGACAAUGUGUACAUGUUGGAUAACAAGUUUAGCAUGUAAAAAGCCUUUUUGUUAUCAGGUAAGGAGCAGUCUUCCUCAUUAGUAAUAUCAAGCAAUAAUUCAAUAUACCCUAGGUCCUAUAUUGGAGACUUUGUGAUUUAACACUCAGUGAGUCCCAGGAAGGAGUUCCUAUGACUUCCUCACAUUCAAAUGAGGAAAUUAAGCCAUGGAAAGAUUAAGUAAAUAAUCUAAGAUCUCACAGUAAAAAACAUAAAAAUAGAUCCGAGGCAUAUCUACUCUGGAGCUGGGCAUUCAGGUUGACUAAGAGGUUUAAUGUUUUCUGAACUAUUGGUUAGAGGUAGACAUGCUAUCUGACAUUUUCUCUUCUCAUUCUUCCAUCAGUGUUUGUAGAGUGUACUGAAUCUUGGCUUCUGGUUGAAAUUAGACGAGCACCUCUUGUGGAAAACCUGCAACCUCAGCAUUACGAGCUAUCUCUAGGAAAUGACUGUCCUGUAACCAGAGUGACGAAUGAUAUCUUUGAGUUCCGUUACGCUCUUGAUUUUUGUGGCAUCAUGAAAUACCAACGCCCAUGGGGCAUUCUUAUUGAGAGUUUCGUCAGAUAUCAACCAAUGUUUUUGAAUAUCAGAACUUUCAUCCCAGUAAGAUGCUCCCUUGAAAGGUAAGUCUAGCUGGCUACAGAGAUUAAGGUUCUCUAACAUUUGCUUGGCUGGAAGGUGUUUCCGGUGAGAGUAAAGAUGUUAGAAAAUAUGCUGAGGUCCAGCCCUUAGACCUGUCUGACUGAUGGAUAGUGUUCUGUUCUUUUAUAUGUGUAGAUAUGUCAUAUAAUUAUAUAUAUGUUUAUAUAUAAAGCUGACUGUCUCAAUGUAUUUUAUUAAUAAAAUGAACCUAUUUGUUUCUCUGGUAGCUGAUGGAGAAAUUGUGGUUAAAAAAAUUUUUUUUAAUUUUUAAUUCUUGUGGGUACAUAGUAGGUAUAUAUAUUUAUGGGGUACAUAAGAUGUUUUGAUACAGGAAUGCAUUGCAUAAUAAUCACAUGGAGAAUGGGGUAUCCAUCCCCUCAAGCAUUUAUCCUUUGUGUCACAAUCUAAUUAGUCUCUUUUGCUUAUUUUAAAAUGCACAAUUAAGUUAUUAUUGACUACAGUCACCCUGUUGUGCUAUCAAAUAGUAGGUCUUAUUUAUUUUUUUCUAUUUUUUUGGUAUGCAUUAACCAACCACACCUCCCUGCUCCCCCAACCUACCACUACCUUUCCUGGUCUUUGAUUGCCAUUCUUCUACUCUCUAUGUCCAUGAGUUCAAUUGUUUUGAUUUUUAGAUCCCACAAAUAAGUGAGAACAUGCGAUGUUUGUCUUUCUCUGCCUGUCUCAUUUCACCUAAUGACUUCCAGUUCCAGCCAUGUUGUUGCACAUGAUGGGAUCUUAUUCUUUUUUUUAUGGCUGAAUAGUACUCCAUUGUGUAUAUGUACCACAUUGCCUUUAUCCAUCCACCUGGAUAAAAUGGACACUUAAGUUGCUUCCAAAUCUUAGCUAUUGUGAACAGUGCUGCAACAAACAUGGGAGUGUAGAUAUCUCUUCA
ensembl:lncRNA